rnacentral:rRNA from 1 species
GCUUACGGCCACACCGGCCUGAGUACGCCUGAAUCUCGUCUGAUCUCGGAAGCUAAGGCAGGGUCGGGCCUGGUUAGUACUUGGAGUGGGAGACCGCCUAGGAAUACCAGGUGCUGUAAGCU